rnacentral:rRNA from 1 species
GACGAACGCUGGCGGCGUGCCUAAUACAUGCAAGUUGAGCGCUGAAGGUUGGUACUUGUACCAACUGGAUGAGCAGCGAACGGGUGAGUAACGCGUGGGGAAUCUGCCUUUGAGCGGGGGACAACAUUGGGAAACGAAUGCUAAUACCGCAUAAAAACUUAAAACACAAGUUUAAAGUUUGAAAGAUGCAAUUGCAUAACCCAAAGAUGAUCCCGCGUUGUAUUAGCUAGUUGGUGAGGUAAAGGCUCACCAAGGCGAUGAUACAUAGCCGACCUGAGAGGGUGAUCGGCCACAUUGGGACUGAGACACGGCCCAAACUCCUACGGGAGGCAGCAGUAGGGAAUCUUCGGCAAUGGACGAAAGUCUGACCGAGCAACGCCGCGUGAGUGAAGAAGGUUUUCGGAUCGUAAAACUCUGUUGGUAGAGAAGAACGUUGGUGAGAGUGGAAAGCUCAUCAAGUGACGGUAACUACCCAGAAAGGGACGGCUAACUACGUG